UUUCUUUUCUUUCGUUUCCCCUGCCCAUGGUUAUAUAGAGCAGUUUAAUGCUUUAGGAUGAAGUCUUGCAGGCAACUAUGGAAGAUAUUGAAGGCAUCUGUUGGAAGAAGGUUUGAGAUUUGGUCUUCUCCUUGAUGAGGAAAUUCACUAUUCACCAACCCCUCAAACAGACCUUUCCCAUGUACCCAAGGUUUUGAAGGGGGAAGGGAUAAUUAGGGUUCUCAGCCUCUUGCAGCUUUUGGAAAGAUGAAGUAUAUUAAGCUUGGAUCGAGGCCAGAUGACUUUCAUUCUGAUGGGAACAAUAUCAGGUUUGUUACAGCUGAACUGGAAGCUGACAUUGUCAUAAGUGUAGCAGAUGUGAAGUUUUAUCUACAUAAGGUAAC